GAUGCAAUGUCAGCUAUUUAGGACAGAAACAUCCAAGGCCGUGUUAGAACUCAGUUAGGACUACAAAUGCGUUAAAGCAGGAACUGGCAGGCCUCUGGACUACAGCAACUAUAGGACUCGUGCUUCUCGUACAUGGGGCUAUAAUUUAUGAAACUGAGCCCCAGAUCCAGCCAAUCAGUUAGCUCCUCAUAACAAGUCUAACUGGCUCUGGAAAGCUGAAAGGGCUGCACUAGAACAACAAGGAUGAGAUAUUCCACACAAUCCUCUGCUUAACCGGAAUCACUUUUCCCUGCGAGGUCAGAGAAAAAUCACAGCUUCGCUGUCAGAGGGAAGGAGUGCAGAUGACCUGGAAAAAUGUGACCAGAUCUGGAGCAAGAUCUUGUCCGGCUUGGCCGUCCCAACCGUGCCUGCAUUCAAAGACUAAGCUACCCCCAGAAAACCAAGGACAGCUACAGCAGCAAAACCUGAGAUAAUUGACUGAAUUCAACAUGAGAUUUGACACCAAGAAGAAAAACACACCAGGACACAGAGAACUGAAAAAGUCAUCCUUUGGCAAUUUCCACCCCCAAGGUUGAGUCUUUGAAAUGUCCAAUUUGUGACUAGCUAGGGAAGGAUAUUUCUCCUCAGCACAAUUUUUUUAACUUAUUAAGCCUUUAUUUAUUUGACAGUGUUGUUGCCUACAAUGACUAGGUGAGAACCAAAACUUCUAAGGAAGCCAGUUGCUGAAACUGUCGCUCCCUUUAGUCUAAUUUAACAUGGAUUAUCUAGUUCAAUGUGGGAAGCAGGCCCUGAAGUUAAUAUUGUCAUUGAAUCCUCAACAUACAGAACUCCCCGUGUCCUAUUACCUUAAUAAAAUUCCAUUAAAAACCCCAAAUUCCAUUAAAAGUCAAGUCCCAUGUCCAGAUCUCCAUUUGUCAACAGACAAGUCCAAGAAUACCCUAAAUUGAGGUCCAUAAGUCAUGUCACAUGUAUUUGUCCCAACAUCUCCCAGAGGGAGACUUCACCUCCAAAAUCUUUGAACACAACCAUCUCACCACCCAAUACAACGGCUAAUGAGCAUCUAGCAAGUCUCUCAGUUAGAAGCUUUCACAGUUUCUCUACAUUCUGUGUCAACAUACAGCUAAGUCCCAGACCCCCAUCUCCCUGACCUUGACAAACACUAAGCAUUUUGUUUGACUUGACUUCAAGGUGUUCAUCUGCUCAUAGGUAAUGUUUGCCCCCAAAACAGUCAUGGUGGGAGCUUUCUGCGCUGUCAUUGCCUCCCAGAACUUUAAUCUAAUCAACUGUGGUAGCCUCAGACAUGUUACUUGUACUUGACAAUGUUAGGGGGUUUGUUAGCCUAACAAUUAGGGGGAUUGUUGGGCUAACAAUGUUAGCCCUGUGUGAGGGCUCCUAGCUGGAGCCCUCACACAGCAGUGAAAUCCUGACACUGAAACGAAGAAAGUGCUACCUCACCAUGAUCCAGCCUGAGCUGAUCAUGUUGUUUACAUUUGUUUCUUUGCCCUAUUAACAACAAUGCCAAGAAGGAAAAUAUUACAAAAUAUACAUACCAAUAUAAUCAUCUUCUCUGGGCUCAAAGUGCCAGUGCAAUGUGUUAGAGUCUGCUUCUAGCAACCAUGCUUCUUAACACAUCAGGGUUUCUAUCAGCAGGUUCUGGGUAGGGACCCUCUCUCUUAUCAUCACCACCAAUUAGUGUUGACUAGGACAUCAGGCACUGUCUAAGAAGAUCAUGAUAUUCAAGGGUCACCCAAACAGCUGAAUUCAAGUCUUACUCAUUUCUUUGAUUACAGACAAGAAUUAAGAUGAUCCUGAUAAAAGAAAAAGAGCUCAGGAAUGCAAACCUUUUUCUGAACAAAGAGCUGUCAGCAAAUCUCAAAUAUCAAGGCAGCUACUGUUGACUGAAAAGUGUCCCUCAACCUGGGCCAAGAAUGAUUCCUACUUCCAUAAGCCAAUUUAUCUGGCACUGUGGUUUAUGUAGCCAAAAGAGUCACUUGUGAGGUAACUAUAGGAAACGCUCAGACCCACCACAUUGACACACCACUGGUGUGUCAAGCCAGUUCACACGGACAGGGUAUAAACCCACUCCAGGUACUGUGAACAGAAAGCCCUGUUCUUUUCACAGUGCUGGACUCUGCCUCAAGAUACCCUAGCUCUUGGGACCGGUUUGCUGCUUGGCAAUGGCUGAUACCUCAAAUGCUGACACUUAGAGCCAGCAUCUUAGGAUGUAAACUGAAAGAGAAAUAGCUGCUUAGAAAAGUGAUAACAAGGCUUGUCUCGCUUUAACAAAGCAAAAAAUAAAAUUUACACUUAAAUAAAAAGACAUGGGUCCUA